AGUCUAUGUGCAGCUUUCUUAACCUGCAUUUGGUUCUGAGAUUUUCAUUUUAAUUAUCUUACUGAUUAAAUCAGCUCAUAGAUCCCAGCCUGCAACAAGCCAAGGCAAAAAAGAAAUCUCUUGUUCAACGAAUUCAGCUUUUAUUGGACAAGAGUGAUGGAAUAUCAAACAGAAUCGAAUCCCUUAAGAAGAAUUCAUAGCAAGAUAAUGCA